CCUUUUAUUUCUUCAUUCUUCUUCAUUCACCUUAUUCUCCAUCUAUCUUUUCUCUAAUUCUUGAUCCAACACCAUGAAUUUAUAAAUUUUGUUCAACUUUAUCACAAUUCAAACCUUCUUCUCAUCUAUCUUUUAUAUUACUUGAGUUUGUGGGUAUUUCAAAGAAGGAAAACUUGGCUCUUGAUCUAGUGAAUGUUUGGGGCGAAAAUCAGAUCAAAGGGGUGACUUUUGAGUCUUUUCUUGAGUAAUUUCAUUUCACUGUUCAAAUUCCGGAUUUAUAGAAGAAUCCUUCUGACUUGAGGUUGAGUUUGUUUGACUUUAUUGCUGAUAAGGGACUUGAAGAUAGUUAGCGCCAGUUGGGUUAAAGAGUGCGUUGGAUCCCUUUUGAUUUAAUAGGACUUUUAAAAAGACUUCCGCUGUUAUUCAUUUGAUUAUAAGAUUUAUGUUCUGGUUUGUAAUAAUUAUUUUACAUUCUAUUUAGUUGGUCUGUAAUAAUUAGUUAAAACUUUUGGUUAUUGUUUUAGUUAGAACCAUUAGCCUUGCGGUUAUUAUUAAUAAUUAUCGCGGCGUAGCACCUUUGGAUUUCCGAGUUUAUUUUUAUUAAGUUGAUUUUAGAAGUAUUGGAAAUUCAGGGUUGUUACA